rnacentral:rRNA from 1 species
GACGAACGCUGGCGGCGUGCCUAACACAUGCAAGUCGAGCGGAGUCGAUCGACGGAAGCCUUCGGGCGGAAGAUGGUUGACUUAGCGGCGGAUGGGUGAGUAACGCGUGGGCAACCUGCCUCGAAGACCGGGAUAACAGUCCGAAAGGGCUGCUAAUACCGGAUGUGGUCAAGGAUCCGCAUGGAUUUUUGAUUAAAGGGGAAACCCGUUUCGAGAUGGGCCCGCGUCCUAUCAGCUAGUUGGUGAGGUAAAAGCUCACCAAAGGCGACGACGGGUAGCCGGCCUGAGAGGGUGACCGGCCACACUGGAACUGAGACACGGUCCAGACUCCUACGGGGGGCAGCAGUGGGGAAUCGUUCCACAAUGGGCGAAAGCCUGAUGGAGCGACGCCGCGUGAGCGAAGAAGGCCUUCGGGUUGUAAAGCUCUGUCUGGAGGGACGAAGGAAGUGACGGUACCUCCGGAGGAAGCCACGGCUAACUAACGUGCCAGCAGCCGACGGUAAAAUCGAACGUGUA